ACUUGGCUUAAAGGUCACAUUACUAGGCCAUGAAAUCUUUAAAAAAAAAUCUGUAAGCAAUUCUACUUCUGCAUAAUCAUACCAAUAAAUAUUUAAUAGGUACAUUCGUUCUAUUUAAGAAGUUACGUUUAAUAACAGAUGAGCUCCAUACUAUGCCAUAUCCAUAAAUUCAUGCCCAUUUUGAGAUAUAAACUGAAAUCUCAAUUGUCUCGGAAUUAUAACUGUUCCGCUCUUUAGAUUGUAGCACAAUACGAUCAAUAAUCUAGUUAAAAACCAGAGCAAGGAGUGAAGUUGCGUGCUAAAAGUAAGUCAACCGUGGCGAGAAGUGACAUACUAUGGCCGCGGCACUUGUGAAUUAAAAAAACAAAAAAAAUCAACCAGCGAAAGGCUCAACUUUGAAAUAUCGACGGACGCCCUUUAGUACAGGGCCCGGCCAAUCACCCCGGACGACCUACUUUCACAUCACAAAGCAAGAUCAACAUUAUUGUAAGACAAUAGGGGUGAAAUUAGCACGACGAAAUCGAAGGGAGGAAGCUAGGCCGUUUCCUUGGGGAAUUCCUUCGAUGAUUUCGAUAAAAAUAUUCAUAAUGAAAUUGUUACGGAUUACGUAAUACAUACUUAUUAUAAGCA